CAAAUUCAAAAUCUAAGUAUUACCACAUAUUAUGCAAUAAUAUGACAUGGUUCUGUGUUUCACAAACUCAUGGCUACUUGUGAGUCAGCCAACAUAGAUAUAAUAUACUAUCCCUGUAUACCAAAAAAUAAAAUUGAAAAUCUUAAGUAUGUAUGCAAGUGUUCUGUUUUUAUUUCAUCAAUGCACAACUACAACUACUAAGUUCCAAGUAUGAACUUCUAUGUGUGUAGUAUAAGUUGUGUAUUGCAAUAAAUCAACUAAGUGAUACUAAGUCAGGUAAGUAUCAACCAAAUAUCUAAGUCCAAAUGUAAACAAGUAUGAAUGUAACUAAGUACCAAUGUACCCAAGUAUGAAUGAAC
rnacentral:lncRNA from 1 species